AUUGAACGCUGGCGGCAGGCCUAACACAUGCAAGUCGAGCGAGCGGCGGACGGGUGAGUAAUGUAUGGGGACUGCCCGAUAGAGGGGGAUAAAUACUGGAAACGGUAGCUAAUACCGCAUACUAUCGGAUAACCUAUAUGGGAUUAGCUAGUAGGUGGGGUAACGGCUCACCUAGGCGACGAUCUCUAGCUGGUCUGAGAGGAUGAUCAGCCACAAUGGGACUGAGACACGACCCAGACUCCUACGGAGUCAGCAGUGGGGAAUAUUGCAUAAUGGGGGCAAGCCUGAUGCAGCGAUGCCGCGUGUAUGAAGAAGGCCUUAGGGUUGUAAAGUACUUUCAGCGGGGAGGCGUUACCCGCAGAAGAAGCACCGGCUAACUCCGUGCCAGCAGCCGCGGUAAUAC
rnacentral:rRNA from 1 species